UUUUCUUUAUAGCUCUAUAUUUGCCUAAGAAUAUUUCCCAUUCAAAAACUACUAAAAUCUAUCAUAUUGUCUUCUGUUAUAUUUAUAAUUUUUUUAUUGUUUUGGGUCUAUAUAUCAUCCGACAUUUGUUUUUGUUUUUGUGGUGCUAGGAAUCCAACCCAGGGCCUCAUGCACAAGUGCUUUACCACUGAGCUAUACCCUGAGUCCUAUUUUGGGGUUAUUAUUUUGAGUUAAGUAUAAGAUUCUUUCCCAAAACAAUAGGUAAUUAUUCCAACAGUGUUUAUCAAAUACUCCACUACUUCCUUUUUAAUUUGAAAUGCCAUACUUAAACUAGAUUUUAAUUAAGGGUUGUUUCUAGAAUUUUUGUUCUAUUCCACUGAUCUCUCAUAGCAUUGUGUCAAUACUAUGUUGUUUGACUGCUGAUGUCUUAAACUACAUUUUGGUAUCUUCAGGCAAAGUACUCCCAAUAGCUCUUUAUACAAAUUUUUUAUUCUUG
rnacentral:lncRNA from 1 species